rnacentral:rRNA from 1 species
UUUUAUGAGAGUUUGAUCCUGGCUCAGGACGAACGCUGGCGGCGUGCCUAAUACAUGCAAGUCGAACGCUUCUUUUUCCACCGGAGCUUGCUCCACCGGAAAAAGAGGAGUGGCGAACGGGUGAGUAACACGUGGGUAACCUGCCCAUCAGAAGGGGAUAACACUUGGAAACAGGUGCUAAUACCGUAUAACAAUCGAAACCGCAUGGUUUUGAUUUGAAAGGCGCUUUCGGGUGUCGCUGAUGGAUGGACCCGCGGUGCAUUAGCUAGUUGGUGAGGUAACGGCU